AUAAUUACCUGGUAGGGGAGACACCAUAAUCACGAAGGUGGUUUUCCCAGGGUGAGGCUUAUCCAUUGCACCCCAGAUGUGCUUGCCUCUACAAUUUCCCCAAAUGUGGGAAACACAAUUUGUGGUAGUGGGGGACUGUGUUCACACUCUCCCCUG